AUGAGAGGGAAAAAGGGUGGGUUGGGGACUCGUCCGGAUUUUGGGCCUCACGCCACAAGGUCUGGAAACCCAGAAGUAACUUCACCCGCAAAGAGGUGGGCACUGCAAAGGCAGAGGCGGCAGAAAGAGCGGAACCCUGCUGUAGGCCAUAAACAGGGAACGGCUCCUCUGGCUGGUAGCUGCGGAGACUGGCCGUCUAGAAUAAAAAUCACAAGGCACAAAGAAGAGUAAGUCACACACCUGGUAAAAAGGUAAGGUAAGUUUCAAACACAGAUACCCUCACUUUUCCACAAUUUUACUUCCUUACUUCAUAUUUAAUUUACAAUAAAUACUGAAAUGUUGGACUUCUAUUACACACCCACCUUUCACUGAUGUCUAUUUGAAAAAAAAACUGCUUAGAAUGGCCUACUCCCAAGUACCUUGGCAUGGAUUUUUUUUUUUUUUUGCAGUAUUGGAGAAUGAACCCAGGGCCUUUCCUCUGAGCUAUAUCCCUAGCCAAUUUUUAAAAUUUUGAGAUAGAGUCUCACUAAACUGCCCACACUAGGCUCAGAUUUGCCAUUCUAUUACCUUAGCCUAGAGAGUACUUGGAUUAUAGGUCUGCACCGCUUGACUCCACAACUAUUCAUCUUUUACAACUUCAGAAAUUCUGAUUUCAUCUCUAACUAGAGAAUUAAUGGAUCCCCUUCACGGUGGGGCAAUAGAAAUAUUUAAACAUGAAAAUAUAUUUAAUCAUGAAAUAUUUAGCUUAUUAUGACAAUAUUAGAGAUCUUGGCAUCUCUCAGCACUCCUUAAGUGUAAGUUCUAGUGUUGCAAAAUUGCUCUUCCAUAUUCACCAGGGAACACCAUCCAACACUUAGAGACUGCUUAGUAAAACCAAGUUAUCACUGUGCAUUUUAUUUCUUUAAGCCUCAUUUUAAAAUAUUCAAUAUUUAGAUAUUGAGCCUUCACCAUGUUCCAAUCGCUGGAAUAGGUUUGCCAAAUAAGACACAACUGGAGAAGAUAUCACAGACUAAUAAGAAGACAGACAAGAGAAAAUAAAAUACAGUGUGAUACUACACUAAAAAUAUAGAAAGGGAAAAUUACACAGAUGAUAGAAAUCACGCAGGGUCCUUAUGGAAGGUGUUUCUUGAGCUUAAAAAUCAUGUUCCUGGAGGCAGAGAUAUUGCUAACAGGCUAGCACAUGUCAACCAGGUAUGUAGAGCCUUGUCUCUUAAAUAUGCUUCAAAAGAGAAGUCAGAAGCAUUUUGGCUAUGCUCCAAAAAUAUACUUAAACUCAUAUUCAUGAGAAUUCUAUUUCCUAGGCCCCACACUAUCUCAAGUAUACACAAAAAUGCCAUUGACAGAUGAAACUCCAUCUUGUAAACAGUGCAGGGUUCAAGAACAUAAUAACUUAAAUUGGAAAAUGUGGAACUCAUAAUGACCUUGAAAUAUCUUUUCUUAUAUGUGCAUUCUUAUAUUUGCCCUCCCACACAUACAGAAUAACCCUAAUAAUCCAAAAAUCAUAAAAGCAGUACUUUCUCCUGCUUUCAAUUUUCAAAAGUAUUCCUAUGCCCAGAUAUUGGUCCAGGAGGAGGGUAGGUGAUAUAUGUUUAUGGUGAGGAAAAAAUCCAGGUAAAUUUAAUAAAUAGUCUUGCUUUAAACCAAUAUUUAUUUCAAGAAUGUAAAGGGCAGUGUUGAAAACAUGGAAAAUAACCUUUGAGUGGCUUUUUCCACUAUUUUAUGGUAAUC
rnacentral:lncRNA from 1 species